CUCAACUCAUUUUGUUUUUCUCACUUCUCAUUUGCGAUGUAGUAUUAAUUUACAUUCGAUAACUAAGUAUUUAUUUGCUCUCAAUCAUUAAUUCCAAUCCAUAAAUCAAUGGCAGCACAAGUCUCAGAACACCUUGAGCCAUGGCACAAGCUCGACGACAAAGUCGUAUUGGUAACCGGCGCUUCUUCCGGCCUCGGAUGCGACUUCUGUGUCGAUCUCGCUAAAGCCGGCUGCAGGAUCAUUGCCGCUGCUCGCCGUCUUGACCGCCUCAACUCCCUCUGCCAUCAAAUCAAUAAUAUGUACGGAUACGGAACCCUCCGUGCGGUGGCCGUGGAACUCGAUGUUUCCGCCGAUGCCGUUACCAUCGACAAGUCAGUGCAGAAGGCAUGGGACGCCUUUGGAUAUAUUGAUACCUUGAUUAACAAUGCUGGUGUCAGAGGAAGUGUUAAAUCUCCCUUGGAUUUCUCUCAGAAGGAAUGGGAUGAUGUUUUCAAAACUAACUUAACUGGUUGUUGGUUGGUGUCAAAAUAUGUAUGCAAACGCAUGUGUGAUGCACAGCGAAAGGGAUCAGUUAUUAAUAUUUCUUCAACUGCUGGUUUAAAUCGAGGACAACUAAGUGGAGCUGUUGCAUAUGCAUCUUCAAAGGCAGGCGUCAACAUGCUGACAAAGGACUGGAAUUCGGGACAGACGAUUGGCGUCGGAUCCACUGCAAUCUGCACAUCUUGUUUGGUGAAGUCAGCAUAUAAAGAAUCCAAUCUUGAUUCCACGGAAGAGAUCUUUGACUGCACUGCAGUCACUACAGUUUGGACAUCUUUUUUGUUGCAUUAUGAUCAAACGUGACUGCUGACAGCUCGGAUCCUAAUAUAUGACAUAGGAAGUUACAAGGUGUGUCUAUAAAUAAGCUUCCUGUCAAGGUGUUAAGGAUGUUUGGUUUAACUUCAUUAAGAAAUCCUAAAGUCCCAAAGAGAUGCACAGAUUGACUGAUUUACAUCAAGGAUUUGAUCUCAGGGAAGAUGAUUGAUUGUGCUAAGCAAAGUGGUUGACUCUACUAUCUUGAAGAUGAACCUAAAAACAUACACCAAUCUGGACCAAUAGGUUCUUCAGUUGGAUCUUUUUUUGUUAAAAAUAAUAAGGAUGAUAUUAUGUUGUAGCAUUUGAG